rnacentral:rRNA from 1 species
AGUGAACGCUGGCGGUAGGCCUAACACAUGCAAGUCGAACGGCAGCACAGAGGAGCUUGCUCCUUGGGUGGCGAGUGGCGGACGGGUGAGGAAUACAUCGGAAUCUACUCUGUCGUGGGGGAUAACGUAGGGAAACUUACGCUAAUACCGCAUACGACCUACGGGUGAAAGCAGGGGAUCUUCGGACCUUGCGCGAUUGAAUGAGCCGAUGUCGGAUUAGCUAGUUGGAGGGGUAAAGGCCCACCAAGGCGACGAUCCGUAGCUGGUUUGAGAGGAUGAUCAGCCACACUGGAACUGAGACACGGUCCAGACUCCUACGGGAGGCAGCAGUAGGGAAUAUUGGACAAUGGGCGCAAGCCUGAUCCAGCCAUACCGCGUGGGUGAAGAAGGCCUUCGGGUUGUAAAGCCCUUUUGUUGGGAAAGAAAUCCAUCUGGUUAAUACCCGGGUGGGAUGACGGUACCCAAAGAAUAAGCACCGGCUAACUUCGUGCCAGCCGCCGCCGUAA